rnacentral:rRNA from 1 species
GCCUCUGGCUAUAGGAAAUUGUUAGUGGCAGACGGGUGAGUAAUGCGUAGGAAUCUACCUAGUAGUACGGAAUAGCCAUUAGAAAUGGUGGGUAAUAAUGUAUAAUCCCCGAGGGGGAAAGAUUUAUCGCUAUUAGAUGAGCCUACGUUAGAUUAGCUAGUUGGUGAGGUAAUGGCUUACCAAGGCUAUGAUCUAUAGCUGGUCUGAGAGGACGAUCAGCCACACUGGAACUGAGAUACGGUCCAGACUCCUACGGGAGGCAGCAGUGGGGAAUAUUGGACAAUGGGCGAAAGCCUGAUCCAGCUAUGCCGCGUGAGUGAAGAAGGCCUUCGGGUUGUAAAACUCUUUCAAUAGGGAAGAUAAUGACGGUACCUAUAGAAGAAGUCCCGG